rnacentral:tRNA from 1 species
GGUGGCUCAGUGGUAGAGCACAUGCCUUGCAUGCAUGAAGCCCUGGGUUCAAUUCCUCAGCACCA